AGGUCUUUCCUAGACAACCUGAUGAGCUUACAUCGAGUGCGGUGGAAUGACAGUCUAGAGGUUGGAGGUGGAGGGGUGAAGAAGUUUGAUGGAUGUGACUGUUUCCUCAGGAUAGGUGAAAGAACGUAUUGCUGGUUUUUCGUACGCGUUUAUCUCUUGGAGUAGGGUUGUUUGAGAUCGCAGCCCUAAGUAGGUGGUAUACUUCAUCUAAAGCUAAAUACGACUACGAAUCCGAUAGCAAACAAGUACCGUGAGGGAAAGUUGCAAAGUACUUUGAAGAGAGAGUUCAACAGGACGUGAAACCGAUAGGAUGGAAGCAGAUGAAGUUGACGAACGUGUGUCGUAUUCAAAAUCGCUGUCAGCGGUUUGUUUUUACGGCCGAUGUGGGCCGGCGGCUUUGGUCAAUGCAUUGCGUCUAGCGUCGAUGGUGACCCUGCGGAGGGACAAUCAGUCGGCGUACGGUGCUUGGUAUGGCUAAGGUUUCGCCGGUCUUAAAGUCAGCGCCUCAUCUGACCCGUCUUGAAACACGGACCAAGGAGUGUAGCGUUUGCGCAAGUCUUAGAGUGUAUCGAAACUUUGAGGCGUAACGAAAGUAAAUGCAGUUUAAUCUGCUGACUUGGGAUGCGUUGUCUCUUGUGGACGGCGCUGGACCAAGGUUUUAUCGCGAUCGCUUGCGGUGCGGUGAAAAUAGAGCGUAAACGGUGCGACCCGAAAGAUGGUGAACUAUGCCUGAGCAGGAUGAAGCCGGAGGAAACUCUGGUGGAAGUCCGAAGCGGUUCUGACGUGCAAAUCGAUCGUCUGACUUGGGUAUAGGGGCGAAAAGACUAAAUCGAACCAUCUAGUAGCUGGUUUCCUCUGAAGUUUUCCUCCGGUUUAGCUGAA
rnacentral:rRNA from 1 species